rnacentral:rRNA from 1 species
GAUGAACGCUAGCGGCAGGCUUAACACAUGCAAGUCGAGGGGUAUAGUUCUUCGGAACUAGAGACCGGCGCACGGGUGCGUAACGCGUAUGCAAUCUACCUUUUACAGAGGGAUAGCCCAGAGAAAUUUGGAUUAAUACCUCAUAGUAUGUGAGAAUCGCAUGGUUUUCACAUUAAAGUUCCAACGGUAAAAGAUGAGCAUGCGUCCCAUUAGCUAGUUGGUGGGGUAAAGGCCUACCAAGGCGACGAUCCAUAGCUGGUCUGAGAGGAUGAUCAGCCACACUGGGACUGAGACACGGCCCAGACUCCUACGGGAGGCAGCAGUGGGGAAUAUUGGACAAUGGGCGAAAGCCUGAUCCAGCAAUGCCGCGUGAGUGAUGAAGGCCUUAGGGUUGUAAAGCUCUUUUACCCGAGAUGAUAAUGACAGUAUCGGGAGAAUAAGCUCCGGCUAACUCCGUG